rnacentral:lncRNA from 1 species
GUCAGGGUAGGCGUUCCCUAACGGAAAAAUGCUAAUAAAUACUAUAACGGUCCAAUUGGAUCUCACUAUCUCGUGCUUGACUCUGCCCACCUCCUUGAUUUUUCUAAGAUUCAUUUUCUCCCAUUGGAAACGACUGGCUCUAUCUUGAGUUAGUUAUCUUUGCAUCUUUGCUCCAAGUAUGCAUUUACCCGUGACUUGAAUAUGGAGCAAGAAAGACGAACCCGGAAUCAUAACGCCUGAGCGGAGUUGCCACAUCCGGUUUUCAGCGUAAAAGGAAGCUAGGUCACCCGGCACCAUAACAUGUUUACGUUUCUGUAACUAAGACUAGCUAAGUGUCUCGAUUCGCACCGUCGGACUCAGAGCAUUCAGUUUACAUUUCCGAAAUAAGCUAACCAGUUACCCACCUGGAAGAUGAAGUACUUUACUGUAGCACCAACUUUUUUUCAAGUUCCAAACUGUCUUAUGGAAGGCUAAGGGGGACCUGCAAAAUCAAGGUAGCUACAGUAAUAGCUAACUAACGUUAGCAAGCUUAGCUAGGCUAUUUGAUGUGAGCCACUAGUCUAUGACAAACAAUAGGCUACUCCAUGUACUGAUAAUUCAUGUUCUGCAAUCAAUGUGCCCUUGCAAGUGGCAUAUUUGCCUUCAAUAUAGACCUCAGUACAUAGCUGGUUAGUUAGAUGAUUUGGCUACUUGGUGGUACUCACUAUUCGCAUAUGUUGUGUGCCAAGUCUCAUUGGAUCUAACGUUACUGCAGUGAGAUGCAAGUUAGGCUUCUCAGUUAGCCUGAGGCUAGUUUGAUAAGCUGUAUGGGGGUAAUUCAGGACACAAAGCACCCAUUAGGUGUUGUGGUGUAAUAAACAGUCGUGUUUACAAGCAGACAUAGGGAAGUAGAGUGGGUGGACUCCCUUGGUCAGUUGGUGUAGGCCUAACGUUACACUUGGAAUCAACUGUAGUUACACCACUAUCUAAUAUUACAGAACCUCAGACUCUCACCAUUUUCACUGUUAUAAAAAGGACUUUAUAAAAUCAAUUGGAUUGAUAUGCUUCAGGAGAUAGGCCUGGUCAGCUACUUGGAAAUGACUAGGUCUAGCCUAACUUAAUUUAAAUUGACCCUGGGUGUCACCCAGAUAGCUAGUUUAGUUGGUGUGAGAUGGAUGUAGAUAUAAAGCCGGAGGAGGAUGAGGUGGAGAUAUCCCCAGCUGUCAUUUUGUCUGACUCUUUUGAUGCAAGUUAUUCAUAUGCUGAAAAUUUGUAUGACACAACAAAACAAAGCCUUAUUUGUGCUCUGUUAGAAGAUAGAAAAUCAAGUGAUACGGAGAUUAAAAUUAAUUCAACAACAGUUGGUGUUCCAGCUGUAAAUGUGGGUGGUAAAGGUGUUGUUCAUGUUCACACAGAACAGGAUAGCCCACGCACCUCUGUAGGGAAUUUAAUCAAAGAGGAGCCAUGUUUUUACAUAUCUCCCAAUGAUUUUCAGAUUGGAAAAGUAUGUACCUUUUCUCAGUCGCAGCAUCUAGUUGCAGAAAGUGUUUCUUUGGGAGGACAAAUCAACCCAACUGCACAGAUAUUUAGCAGCUUUCAAAUACAGCCCCUAAACAAUGAUCAAGUGCUGACUGAUUAUGUUAAUCUUCCAAGCCAAAGUAUUGCCAAACCGUUUCCGAUAAUUUCACCUGCAAUAGCAAGUGACAGUAAUUUAACUCCAGUGCUGCAAUCAUGUCAUAUGAGGACUCACAGGCCUAUUCUUCCAGCCUAUUGUAAACCAUUUAAUUUUACCUCUGCUCAAGAGGAAGACUACGACGUUAAAAUAAAAAAAAGAGGGAAGAAAAUGGUCAAGGCACAAAAAGGGAGAAAAGAUGGAGAUAUGUGGCGACAUCGUGUUAAUUACUCAAAACAUAUUUCACCAAGGUCGUCAGCUGGGAAAAAGUUGAAGGAUCCAUACUCCAACUGCAAGAAAAUUGGCUUGGAUUUCAAUGUUGGGUCUGGAUCCAAUCAGAAACUAGAUUUGCAGUUGCUGACUAAAGGUGUGAUGGUUGAGGUUUCUGAUUUUGCUAAAGAAGUUAAUAGAGCUCAGCAGCAUGUUGUCUGUGACAUUCUAGAGUACAACUUUGAUCUUGGUUUGCAAAAGCAUCAAAGGUAUGAUUUUGCGACACGUACUAUGCACAAAUUAAGAGAAUUGAUGAGAAAACGAAAAACUGUCCUAGGAAAACCUGAAUUGGUAAUGGAGGUGUUUACCCUUCCUGAUCCCAACACGAUAAAAGGAUCGAAAUAUGCCCUUUCAACUGCAAAGAAUUAUGACCGUGUGUCAGAAAAUCUUGAAACUGCUGGCACAUUUUUAAUGGACAAAUCUCAUCUGGACAUCGUAUCCAGACUUACUCACCAUGUCAAGACAGACAACCUGUUAACUGAGAAAGAUGUAACGCAGUGUGCUGGUGGAACGGCGUACAGCCUUGCAAGGGACCAAAACUGGCAUCUAAUGGCUUCUACAACGUCAAAAACAAUGAAGGACCCUUAUCCCCUCUGUAAGAAAAUAGGAUUAGAACUUGAUGUGAAAUCCAAUUUUGGGGCAAAAGAGAAACUUAAUUUGGAUUUAUUGACCAAAGGUAUAAUGAUUGAACUUGGUAAUUUUGCCAAAGAUGUUUGUGGAACUUACAAGCAAAUUGUCAUUGAUGUCCUAGAGCACAAUUUUGAUCUUGAUUUGCCUAUUGAGAAAACCAAGCUGUCUACCUAUAUUAUUACAAAGUUGAGACGAGUUGUUAAGAAAAUGACAUGCAUGGCACAUAGAAGGAAACCUCCAUAUUUAAAGGAAACAUUCUCACUGGGGGUUGGCACAAGAAAGAAACCUGCAGUGAUUUCCAGUAAAAUGCAGGUCAUUAACUCAAUUGACUCAAAUGUGUGGAAAUAUCAAGGACUGAAAAAAGUUACAGAAAGAAGACGAUUAGAUUUGAGAAGGAAAAAGGGAGAAAGAGCCACUUGCAAAGUAAGAGAAAUGAAGGCAGAGAAAUUUCAUAGAGGUAGACAAGUAGGCCUAGUUCCUCAGUCUGUGAAGAAACAGACCAUUUCCAACGAGACUGAACUCACAUUGUCAGCCGGAAAAAUGAAGGUCCCGGUCAGCAAAAUUAAAAAGGCAAAUGUGAUGCCCUUUGCAGAGAAAGUGGUGAAAAACUGCUACCCCUUGUGCAAAGAAGUAGGUGUGGAACUUGAUGUGAAAUCCAAACCACUAUCCAAAACAAAACUUGACUCACAGUUACUGACUAAUGGCGUAAUGUAUGAGGUUCAUAAGUUUGCAAAAAAUACAAAAAAGGCUUAUAUGUAUACUGUCUAUGAUAUACUGGAAUAUAAUUUUGAUCUAGAUUUGCAAAAUCAGAAACGCUGUCAAUUUGCCGUACAUAUUUCAUCUAAACUGAAACGAAUGGCUAAACGGAAAUAUGUCACAAAUGAAGACUUUUCAAAAGAAGUGUUUAUAAUACCUCUUGUGACUAGACAAUACAAGAAAAAAGAAGCUACUCCACCUGCAAGAUUGUCAAAAAGACAAUUGGAUUUGAAAAGGAUACAAGAGGCAAAUCAUACAGAGGAGAAGAGGAACUGUCAGGAGAUGGUUAGCAAGACCGGUUUGAAAAAUCUGGUCCCUGAUGCAAGGACUGUAGGGUCUCUGCAUGAUGAAGAGAUCAUCUCUAUCGAAACAGCUGAAACUGUCAAGCUUGGCCAAGAUAAUGGACCCACUGACUUCUGCUUAAAGGAGUCUGAUGUUCACUCUGGGGUCACAGAGCAAACCCCAUGCCCAGAGAACUACCAAGUUGACAUUUGCUGGAAAAUGAUCAAUGAAAUUGUUACGAGUAGUGAAAUGCAACAGAUGAGAUGGAUUUUUGUACCUUUUUCAAACUGUUUUGGUGUUGGGACUGGUUCGGAAAAGAAAUUUCAACAAAUCCUUGCUGAAUACAGAUCAGACAUCCUACCACUGGUAGUUGAGAAACAUUGUGGCUUUAGUUCCACUGAAAAGACAAUGAUGUGCCUUGUAAGUCAGCUCUUCUGUGGCUUACAUUUGAUUGAUGGCUUAGCUCACCAGGCAAAAACAACUCUUCUACUUUGGGAAAAUAUGAUUUUAGGAGAUAAAGAAGUAGGAGUCCAUAGCUCCCCUAACAUUGAGACAACAGAGUUGGAGUCUGGAACAGUGCGUUUGGUGAGUUCUGUGAGUGAUGCUGUGCAAGAGCUUGGAUGGGCAGAGGACGGUCAGCUUGUUCCGUUCGAAAGCUUUUUGACCAGCAAAAAAGAAUUUGAUGAAGUUCCUUUGUCUCUAUCCAUUGGACACAGAAUUGAUGGUCUGUUUCAUAAUUCUGCUGGAGUGUGUAGCAUCCAUGAUGAUUUGGUUGAGUUUACCAGUACGUACGGAGCUGAGAGUAGUUUGCUUGCUGCAGUUGUUGCUGAUUUGGAGGUUCAACAGUUCAAGGCCGGAUGCAGAGCUCUGGGUCUGGUUUCCAAGCUUAUCAUUGAUCCUCUCUGGAGAGCCUUAACUUUGAAGGGAAACGUGUUGGAGAUGGAAGAAAGAUACCAAACCCUUGUUACCAAACUCAAGGAAUGGCAGGAAGAUGGGAGAGACCUUGUUAAAGGAAAUGCAUGCUUGUUUGAUGACAUUGAGGUACCCAAGAACCUUGUGUUUGACAGGCUUACCAUGUGGACUGACACAGACUUUUUUGAGUUGACUGUUCAGAUUGUUGAGUUGAUCCUAGCCAGUUUUCUGAAGGUAUGUUCUAUGAUGCUUCCAGUCGAACCAGAGCUCCUGUCAAAGAAAAAUGAUCGAUUCAGGAAGGAUUUGGCAAUAUUAGAUCAAUUGCAAAAAGCUAAGUCAAAUGCAGUCAGUAUUGCCAUUGAAGGCAUGGACAUGUGCAAGAAGAAUCACACUUGGGAAUGGCUGUCCUUUUUGGAUGAAUCAAAAAUGGUGUCAAUGAGGAAAACAUUCCAGACAGUGUAGGCAAAGGAAGAAGAAAAGCUCUGCCACACCUGCAGAAGAAUGGAAAUGGUAAAGGAAUAGACAUGAAAGACAGAGUGAAUGAGUCUUUUAUUUGUUUAUUUAUUUAGAAAUGAACCACAGUAGGACUAUAGAGGACAGAACCUUUUUAUAACAGGUUUAACUUUGCCCCUGUAUCCUGGUGAUGACAUUGCCUAUACAGCUCUUUCAAAAAAAAUCCAUGAACGUGCUUUUCUUUCUAGCGCCUUAGCUUUUGUGUUCAGACUGGUGAAAGAUAAACAGCAAUGCAACCUCAGACAAUAAGUAGAUGCAAGUAUAAUAUAGUUACACUAUAUACCUAUUUUGUGAUAUAUUGUAUAGCCUAAUGAUGUUCAAACGCGGUGUCAGUAAAUGUUGAAUAACGCUUCUCCAUUUGGCACCACCUGUAGUUGGGAAUGUGAAUGGUUUCACGAGCUUACCUGUUUUUAUAUUGUUUAAAAUCCAAUUCAGAGUUUUUUUCCGAAGUGUGCUGUCAGGAAAAGUGUAGAGGCUUAGGCUCAAUAGUUGAAUUUGCAUAUUUCCUUGGCCUUCUUUUGAUACCUGGUCUUGUCUUUGAAAAGACUAAUUGAAUGAAAAAAAUUAUAAUUUUGAAAGGAGACCAGUCGUUAUUUUAGUGUUAUUAGCUUAUUUCUGGACCAUUUUCCCCCUCACUUUUUGUAUGACCAUUGAAUUGCCUACUUGAAUGGUCAACUUAAAUAGAAACGAGAUGGAGAGCAAGGCUCUGAAAGUUGUCAACUUUUCCACUGUCAAAAUGAAUCAUGCUUUAUUUUUUUAAAUACCUUUUUUUAAAUCAUAUUUUGGUAAUCCAUUUUUGAGAGCCUGUUUUAUCUCUAUAUUUUUGUUGGAGAUCAAGAUGUUUUCAUUAGGACAAAUGCACACUGGACUGCAGUGCUUUUCUAUCUGCUGCAGCAUUCAACCUUCCACAUUACUGUAGACUUCAGGAAGAACAUGCUUUUAGAUAUAAACAUCAAAUAAUUAGCAAAAGGCUGAGUUCCAGGUUUGUGAUGUCCACCAUGAGAGAUUCUCAUUAAAGUUGAACCAGUGACUAGUCUCAGAUGGGGAGCUGGACCUCUUGAAGACCAAGCUAGACUGGCAGGCCUGUGGAUCUCUUGUUCUGGGCUACUCAGAGGUGCUGCCAGAACUGGACCUUGGCACUAUCAAUUCACAGACUACCACCUACAGCCCGUCCAUACAAACCUGCACAUAGGACAAGUGCUGGGGUGAGUAUGUUUUAGUUUGUGUGUGUGUGUGUGUGUCCUUCGAUUCAUUUUGUGCAUGUAAGUAUUGUCUGAUCAGUUAUUGACCACUCAUUCUCUUCCUCUCUGUAGCCUCAGUCACAAAGUCAUCACUGAUGCUCUGACUGAAACUAGCCUACACCAACUGGUCUUUGCCAACUGUUCCACUAACCUACCGUAUGAUGUGCAUUGGAGUGCUUGCCUGUGAUUGAGAAAGCGUGUGAUGUAGGUACAGUGAGGGAAAAAAAUAUUUGAUCCCCUGCUGAUUUUGUACGUUUGCCCACUGACAAAGAAAUUAUCAGUCUAUAAUUUUUAUGGUAGGUUUAGUGAGAGACAGAAUAACAACAAAAAAAUCCAGAAAAACGCAUGUCAAAAAUGUUAUAAAUUGAUUUGCAUUUUAAUGAGAGAAAUAAGUAUUUGACCCCCUCUCAAUCAGAAAGAUUUCUGGCUCCCAGGUGUAUUUUAUACAGGUAACAAGCUGUGAUUAGGAGCACACUCUUAAAGGGAGUGCUCCUAAUCUCAGCCUGUUACCUGUAUAAAAGACACCUGUCCACAGAAGCAAUCAAUCAGAUUCCAAACUCUCCACCAUGGCCAAGACCAAAGACCUCUCCAAGGAUGUCAGGGACAAGAUUGUAGACCUACACAAGGCUGGAAUGGGCUACAAGACCAUCGCCAAGCAGCUUGGUGAGAAGGUGACAACAGUUGGUGCGAUUAUUCGCAAAUGGAAGAAACACAAAAGAACUGUCAGUCUCCCUCGGCCUGGGGCUCCAUGCAAGAUCUCACCUCGUGGAGUUGCAAUGAUCAUGAGAACGGUGAGGAAUCAGCCCAGAACUACACGGGAGGAUCUUGUCAAUGAUCUCAAGGCAGUUGGGACCAUAGUCACCAAGAAAACAAUUGGUAACACACUACGCCGUGAAGGACUGAAAUCCUGCAGCGCCCGCAAGGUCCCCCUGCUCAAGAAAGCACAUAUACAUGCCCGUCCGAAGUUUGCCAGUGAACAUCUGAAUGAUUCAGAGGACAACUGGGUGAAAGUGUUGUGGAGGAGGAAUGCUGCCUAUGACCCCAAGAAAACCAUCCCCACCGUCAAACAUGGAGGUGGAAACAUUAUGCUUUGGGGGUGUUUUUCUGCUAAGGGGACAGGACAACUUCACCGCAUCAAAGGGACGAUGGACGAGGCCAUGUACCGUCAAAUCUUGGGUGAGAACCUCCUUCCCUCAGCCAGGGCAUUGAAAAUGGGUCGUGGAUGGGUAUUCCAGCAUGAAAAUGACCCAAAACACACGGCCAAGGCAACAAAGGAGUGGCUAAAGAAGAAGCACAUUAAGGUCCUGGAGUGGCCUAGCCAGUCUCCAGACCUUAAUCCCAUAGAAAAUCUGUGGAGGGAGCUGAAGGUUCGAGUUGCCAAACGUCCGCCUCGAAACCUUAAUGACUUGGAGAAGAUCUGCAAAGAGAAGUGGGACAAAAUCCCUCCUGAGAUGUGUGCAAACCUGGUGGCCAACUACAAGAAACGUCUGACCUCUGUGGUUGCCAACAAGGGUUUUGCCACCAAGUACUAAGUGUCAUGUUUUGCAGAGGGGUCAAAUACUUAUUUCCCUCAUUAAAAUGCAAAUCAAUUUGUAAAAUUUUUGACAUGCGUUUUUCUGGAUUGUUUUGUUGUUAUUCUGUCUCUCACUGUUCAAAUAAACCUACCAUUAAAAUUAUAGACUGAUCAUUUCUUUGUCAGUGGGCAAACGUACAAAAUCAGCAGGGGAUCAAAUACUUUUUUCCCUCAUUGUAGGUAGUGAGUGAAGACAGGGAGAGGGGCGGUUUCUUUUAUUUCAUGUAACUGUUGGAGGAGGGUGAUCUGUUCGGUAAUGAUGAAUAAUAUACUUCCUCUACAGCCUCUUCAACAACAGACUUGUGAACAGAACAUCCUUCCUGACACACAAGACAAGAGUUCUGAGGUCUUGUAAAGAGGGAUGAGAGGACUGCCAAUAGAUUAAACUGAUUCAUUACUUUGAUCAGUCCUACUUUCAACACUUCGUACUAAAAAUGUACUCUGAUUGCCCACUUAAGCUUGCAAUGGAUUUCAGUGGAGUUAAACAUGACACAUGCAGUGUCACUGUUUCGUGUGGAAGGGGCUACGAGAAGGGGUCGAUUUGGAAUUCAGCACUGUCCAUGGGUUGACCGUCCUGAACUUUUUUUUCCUUAAAUGUUUUGUUUUUGACAGUACAGCUGGAAAUGUAAAGAUUGAAACAUAGUAGGGGCAUAGACAGAGGGUGGCCGAGGUGGAGCCCAAUCCCUGUUGCCAGGGGGCCCAAUCCCUGUUGCCAGGGGGCAUAUCUGGUACAGAGUCGGGGAGCUUAGACCACUACACUAGACUCCGUCACGACUGACCUGAACUUUUUACCAGAAAAUAAAUACUAUGUUCAUCAGACUCUCCUCACUGUAAAACUCAGAAUGGUUGUGAGGUCACAGGGAAAAGACUGAUCUGAGGGACCACAGACUCACAAAACAUUGUAGCUCACUUGACUGGAAAACAGCUCUUUGUGGUGCCUAUGUCUGACAUGAAGUAAAAAUGAAAACACAACAGAAAAUUGCUCUCUACUUCCUACCACAAUCUUAUAUAUUGCAUACUUAGAAUAUGAAUGUGAUUAUUCAUACACUCAUAUUAGGCUUAUUUCUCUUUGGUUGGGGUGUUCAAUGGUUAAGUGGACUAGCUACCACUAUGGCAUUUUGAUGUUAUGGCGUCAGCUCUGGCUGGCUGAGAAGACAAGUAAAAGGGCUAAUAGUUGGCAGGGCAAUUUUUGUUUUUCCCAACUUUGUAUUACCGUAUCAAAUAAUUUAAUUAAGGUAGAAAAAUCACUUUAUAUCGGUGUUAUGCCUGUUGUUCAAGCGUGUAACUGCCCUCUCAUUCGCUAGAAUGGUCCCACCUGAUCUCACCUCCUCCCGACUUCCUUCCAUCUUUGAAUACAUGUAUUUUCAUUGUUAGAGUGGCCACUUGAGUAUCUUAUCUAUAUAAUUGUCAUGACUGCCACUCCUUGGUGAGGAUCAAAGGUGCCGGAUCAGCUAGGCCAAUGGCUGACAGAUAGCCAAACUCUCUCUCUCUCCUGGGGGAGUUGGCCCGGUUUUAUGAUUUAACGACCGGAUUGUAAAUACCUGGCAGAAACUCUCCCUUUGGCUCUGCAGUAUUGAAAGACUGAGUGUUACAGAGAGACUCUUGCUAAAAACUUUAACAUCAAAAGAUUGGACAUUGGAACAUUAGUUUUGAAAUCCAAACGCUUGGAAUGGUUGGUGGGUUUAUUAUUUUGUGAUAUCAUUAAGGAUGGUAUAACUAAGUAACAUUGUAACUUUAAGAGCUUUCACAAUGUAUAGAUCAGAUUUGCAUGUUGCAUGUUACUGUUGUGAAGAUAAAAUGUGAUUUUAGCCUUCUAAAUGAGAAUUGUUUUUCAUAUAAACUUUUGCUAAGUCAGUAACCACGCCCACGUGAGCACAGACUUCGUGUCAGCAUGAUGGAACACCCCUUUUUACCUAAGCAUAAAAGGACUCGUAACGAAAUUUACAUUAGACCAAAACAGGCCGGGUUGCUGCCGGUUUGUAAAGUGGUCCUAGCUGUACCCUGAAUAAUCAACCAUUGAGACCAGUCUACGUGCAGCGUGAGCUGAAUACGUUACCAAUGGUUAAAUCUCUACAGUUGGGUAAUUUAAAGUAGUCUAUGUAGAACAAUUGACCCAGACGGGAAAGAAGAACAAUUCCCUAUCACCACUGUGUGAUACACCUCUGAUGGAUCCAUUCUAACGAACACUCCAGAACAAAAGAAGCCUACAACUACUAAGGAAAUUGUGACCUCUGGUGGACCACCAGAGACUUACAUCGAACCACCACAUUGAACUAUCGAGUUCAACAGAGAGACGACAGAGAAAGACAUCUACGCGUAAAUAUGUAUUGCAUUCCUUUUCUGAAUGAGCGGGUGUUAGGGUUCCUAAUAUCCAUAUUUACAGUGAGUGUAUUUUUCAACUGUAUGUACGAUAAGUCCACUCUCUUUGUCUCUCCCGCUCCUUAUCUUUCCCCACCCCCUUUCCAUUGUGUAACAAGCUGUCAUAUCGGGUUAGUCCACUAGGGACUGUUUCAUUGCAUUAUGUUAGUAAUAAAUAAUCUACACUGUGUGUGUGUAUUUCUGUGUGAUUAUUUAGUGAGUUAGUAAAUAAAUAAGCCAAUUUGUGUAUCGCUGAAUCAUCACUUAGGCUAGGGUUCGUGCAGAUUUACG